CCAAGGCUCAGUGACAUUAAAUAACUGAGAUUACAAAGCUAGAAACUGGCAGAGAAGGGCUGUGUCCACGCUCGUCUGGCUCAGCACACUACCCUUAGCCAGAGUGCUGCCAUGGUGACAGGCCGUCCCUAUUAGAGGAGAAUGACGGCCUUUCAUGCAAGCACCUGAGGACGAGAUGAUCUGAAUGGCCGUCAGGGAGAGUGGAACGCAGGUACAAGAACCAAGAUCAGGAAACUGAGGCCUGACAAGAUUAUUGCUCUCGCCUGUGCAUAUCAGAACUGAGAUGAGAACUCAAGCGUUCCAGUUAUCUGUUGCUGCGUAACAAUGGACUUGAAAAGGGAGGCACCAUUUUCUCCUACUUCCUGACGCCACAUCACCUGAGUUAGCCUGAGCAUGUCUUGUUCUCAGGAACUUAAAGGAACCUAACACAUGACUCACAGGCAGUCGGCCACCUGAACAAGGCUGUAUUGGAUUCAUCUUCGCAAGCCCAGCGCCAGCACCAGGCCUUUCCCGGAAGAUGAGAUCUGUAAACAGGACUUUCUGGCACCUGAGUUCACAUGCUUGGGCCUUGAAUGAAGAAAGAGUCUUAUCCCUCCAGGACUAACAUCAUUAUCAUCACCUGGGAAUGUGUUUGGGACACAUACCCCCCCACCCCCCACCUCCUGGAUGAUAAAUUGCAUUUUCAAAAAUACCCAGGUGACUCUCAUGCAUGUGGAAGUUUGGGACAACGGAGGUGGAGGUCUCCAAGGUGAAAA